rnacentral:rRNA from 1 species
AGACCCGAAACCCGGUGAUCUAGCCAUGGGCAGGUUGAAGGUUGGGUAACACUAACUGGAGGACCGAACCGACUAAUGUUGAAAAAUUAGCGGAUGACUUGUGGCUGGGGGGGAAAGGCCAAUCAAACCGGGAGAUAGCUGGUUCUCCCCGAAAGCUAUUUAGGUAGCGCCUCGUGAAUUCAUCUCCGGGGGUAGAGCACUGUUUCGGCAAGGGGGUCAUCCCGACUUACCAACCCGAUGCAAACUGCGAAUACCGGAGAAUGUUAUCACGGGAGACACACGGCGGGUGCUAACGUCCGUCGUGAAGAGGGAAACAACCCAGACCGCCAGCUAAGGUCCCAAAGUCAUGGUUAAGUGGGAAACGAUGUGGGAAGGCCCAGACAGCCAGGAUGUUGGCUUAGAAGCAGCCAUCAUUUAAAGAAAGCGUAAUAGCUCACUGGUCGAGUCGGCCUGCGCGGAAGAUGUAACGGGGCUAAACCAUGCACCGAAGCUGCGGCAGCGACGCUUAUGCGUUGUUGGGUAGGGGAGCGUUCUGUAA